rnacentral:rRNA from 1 species
GACGAACGCUGGCGGCGUGCCUAAUACAUGCAAGUAGAACGCUGAAGCGAGGAGCUUGCUCUUCUUGGAUGAGUUGCGAACGGGUGAGUAACGCGUAGGUAACCUGCCUUGUAGCGGGGGAUAACUAUUGGAAACGAUAGCUAAUACCGCAUAACAAUGGAUGACACAUGUCAUUUAUUUGAAAGGGGCAAUUGCUCCACUACAAGAUGGACCUGCGUUGUAUUAGCUAGUAGGUGAGGUAACGGCUCACCUAGGCGACGAUACAUAGCCGACCUGAGAGGGUGAUCGGCCACACUGGGACUGAGACACGGCCCAGACUCCUACGGGAGGCAGCAGUAGGGAAUCUUCGGCAAUGGGGGCAACCCUGACCGAGCAACGCCGCGUGAGUGAAGAAGGGUUUCGGAUCGUAAAGCUCUGUUGUAAGUCAAGAACGAGUGUGAGAGUGGAAAGUUCACACUGUGACGGUAGCUGACCAGAAAGGGACGGCUAACUACGUG